CCUACGGGUGGCAGCAGUGAGGAAUAUUGGUCAAUGGACGAGAGUCUGAACCAGCCAAGUCGCGUGAAGGAUGACGGCCCUACGGGUUGUAAACUUCUUUUGUCAGGGAGCAAUUGGGUCCACGCGUGGGCUUAGCGAGCGUACCUGACGUAAAAGCAUCGGCUAACUCCGUGCCAGCAGCCGCGGUAAUACGGAGGAUGCGAUCGUUAUCCGGAUUUAUUGGGUUAAAAGGGUGCGUAGGCGGAAUAUAAAGUCAGCGGUAAAAAUUCGUGGUUCAACCCAGUCGUGCCGUGGAAACUGAUGUUCUUGAGUGGGCGAGAAGUAGGCGGAAUGCGUGGUGGAGCGGUGAAAUGCAUAGAGAUCACGCAGAACUCCGAUUGCGAAGGCAGCAUACCGGCGCCCAACUGACGCUGAAGCACGAAAGCGUGGGUAGCGAACAGGAUUAGAUACCCGUGUAGUC
rnacentral:rRNA from 1 species